rnacentral:rRNA from 1 species
UACGUAGGUGGCAAGCGUUGUCCGGAAUUAUUGGGCGUAAAGCGCGCGCAGGCGGCCUUUUAAGUCUGAUGUGAAAGCCCACGGCUCAACCGUGGAAGGUCAUUGGAAACUGCAAGGCUUGAGUACAGAAGAGGAAAGCGGAAUUCCACGUGUAGCGGUGAAAUGCGUAGAGAUGUGGAGGAACACCAGUGGCGAAGGCGGCUUUCUGGUCUGUAACUGACGCUGAGGCGCGAAAGCGUGGGGAGCAAACAGG